CAACUUUCAGCAGUGGAUGUCUAGGCUCGCACAUCGAUGAAGAACGCUGCGAACUGCGAUACGUAAUGCGAAUUGCAGAAUUCAGUGAGUCAUCGAAAUUUUGAACGCAUAUUGCACUUUCGGGUAAUACCUGGAAGUAUGUCUGUAUCAGUGUCCGUA
rnacentral:rRNA from 1 species